CAGCAGCCGCGGGAAUACGUAGGUCCCGAGCGUUAUCCGGAUUUAUUGGGCGUAAAGCGAGCGCAGGCGGUUAGAUAAGUCUGAAGUUAAAGGCUGUGGCUUAACCAUAGUACGCUUUGGAAACUGUUUAACUUGAGUGCAGAAGGGGAGAGUGGAAUUCCAUGUGUAGCGGUGAAAUGCGUAGAUAUAUGGAGGAACACCGGUGGCGAAAGCGGCUCUCUGGUCUGUAACUGACGCUGAGGCUCGAAAGCGUGGGGAGCAAACAGGAUUAGAUACCCCCGUAGUCCCUGUCUCUUAUACA
rnacentral:rRNA from 1 species